rnacentral:rRNA from 1 species
GAAGUCGGAAUUGGUAGUAAUCGCGGAUCAGCAGGCCGCGGUGAAUACGUUCUCGGGUCUUGUACACACCGCCCGUCAAGGCAGUAAAGCCGGUAGUAGCAGAACCUCGAUUGUAUCGGGGGAUGCUAAGAUCGGUGAUAAGGCUUAAGUCGUAACAAGGUAUCCCUAGCCGAAGCUGGGGAUGGAUCACCUCCUUUCUA